UACGUAGGGUGCAAGCGUUUGUCCGGAAUUAUUGGGCGUAAAGAGCUCGUAGGCGGUCUGUUGCGUCGGCUGUGAAACCCGGGGCUCAACUCCGGGCCUGCAGCCGAUACGGGCAGACUAGAGUUCGGCAGGGGAGACUGGAAUUCCUGGUGUAGCGGUGAAAUGCGCAGAUAUCAGGAGGAACACCGGUGGCGAAGGCGGGUCUCUGGGCCGAUACUGACGCUGAGGAGCGAAAGCGUGGGGAGCGAACAGG
rnacentral:rRNA from 1 species